CCACACUCCUUGGCUGGUAAUGUUUUGGUUCAUUGGCAAGUAGCCUACCACAACCCAUAUGACCUUAGUGCAAUACCCAUAGAAACAACAAUGUCAAAAAACUUGUUAUAAUACUUUUUUUCUUUCGUAUUAUAAGGCUUCUCCAUUAAAACUUGUUUGCGUAUAAAACUUUCUCCAAUUAUCCGACUCUACCUGUCUUUUCCAUGUUAUAACAUUUUUUUUGUUAAACCAAAACCAUUAAUUUUCAAGAUUUUGGCCCACCACUUUCUAUAUAACUCUACCAAAAAGGAACACAAAUUACACAAAGUCUCAUUUUCAUUCCAAACGCAUUUUCUUCUCAUCAAAUAUACCUGCUUUUGAGGUUUUGGAUCAAGAAGGGUGUUUUCUGAUGGAGAGUGUUAGUAACAGUUCCUCUCAGCUUAAUGUAAAACAAUAUGAACCGACUCUGGUUGCUCCAGCAGAGGAAACAGAGAAGGGUCUUUACUUCCUCACAAACCUUGAUCAGAACAUUGCAGUUAUAGUUCGCACUAUUUACUGUUUUAAGUCAGAGUCUAAAGGCAAUGAGGAUGCUGUGAAAAUCAUUAAGGAUGCCUUGUCUAAGGUUCUUGUUCCCUACUACCCAGUUGCGGGCCGGUUAACAAUCAGUACAGAAGGAAAGCUGAUAGUGGAUUGCACAGGGGAGGGUGCUGUUUUUGUUGAGGCUGAAGCAGACUGUACAAUAGAGGAAAUAGGCGACAC